rnacentral:rRNA from 1 species
AAGGAAUGCUACCUGGUU